AGAGAGAGAGAGAGGGGAAGGGGGGGGGGGGAAUCGAAGCGAAACAAAGAGCUCGAUCACAAUCGAAUAACUAAAACUGCCCCCUUUUUCCCUCUCAAGAAGAGGUGUUUUUCUAGUUGGCUCUGCCGGGAUUUGGAAAAUUGAGAGAUGAAUCGCUCGCC